rnacentral:rRNA from 1 species
GACGAACGCUGGCGGCGUGCUUAACACAUGCAAGUCGAACGAUGAAGCCAGCUUGCUGGUGGAUUAGUGGCGAACGGGGGAGUAACACGUGGGUGAUCUGCCCCAAACUUUGGGAUAAGCCUGGGAAACUGGGUCUAAUACCGACUAUGACCGAUACUCGCAUGGGUGUUGGUGGAAAGCUCCGGCGGUUUGGGAUGGGCCCGCGGCCUAUCAGCUUGUUGGUGGGGUAAUGGCCUACCAAGGCGACGACGGGUAGCCGGCCUGAGAGGGCGACCGGCCACACUGGGACUGAGACACGGCCCAGACUCCUAUGGGAGGCAGUAGUGGGGAAUAUUGCACAAUGGGCGCAAGCCUGAUGCAGCGACGCCGCGUGAGGGAUGACGGCCUUCGGGUUGUAAACCUCUUUCACCAGGGACGAAGCGAAAGUGACGGUACCUGGAGAAGAAGCACCGGCUAACUACGUG